GACAGAGGGGGCAAGCGUUGCUCGGAAUCACUGGGCGUAAAGGGUGCGUAGGCGGCGCGGUAAGUCGGGUGUGAAAUUUCGGAGCUUAACUCCGAAACUGCAUUUGAUACUGGCGUGCUUGAGGACUGGAGAGGAGACUGGAAUUUACGGUGUAGCGGUGAAAUGCGUAGAUAUCGUAAGGAAGACCAGUGGCGAAGGCGGGUCUCUGGGACGGUACUGACGCUGAGACGCGAAAGCGUGGGGAGCGAACAGG
rnacentral:rRNA from 1 species